UCCAUCAGCAAUCUUAAUUCCUCCUUGAUAUGAAAUAUUCACAUACGAGUCUUGGAAACGAGGACAUAGAUGUCUUUGGGAUACUAUUAUCCUACUUCUCACAGCCCCUUUUUCUGUUUCUGAGACAUAACUCCCCAAUACCACCUUUCAGAAUUGAACCUCAAAUGACACAUAACUGUUUGUGGUUAGCUCUCUACAUAGGGCUGCUCAUUCAUGCAUGAUUCUGUGUCUUUGUUUAUGCCGUCCCUUCUGCCUGACAGGCCCUUGCACUUCACUGCUUGGCUGAUUUUAAUCAGCCUUUAAAACAACUCAAGUGUUAGAAGCUUUUGACAAAUUCUCUCCCUCUGUGCUUCCCUCCAUCUUAACAUUAUCACAUUACAGUAAGAAUAUCUGUUUACUUGUCAGUCUCUCUCUACUAGAAUGUAAAUUCCUUUAGUGCAAGUGUUGGCUUGUAUGCACAGCACCUAACAUAGUGCUGAGCAAACACUUAGUGAGUGCUAAGUUAAAUUUUGUUUCCUGACCCAGUCAGACAUGAAUGAGGACCCACUGAAAAAUUUUAAGCAAAUUCUUACUCUAGAAGAAGACUCUGGCAACAAUUUGGAAGGCAGAUUUGUGGGGAUGAAAGUAAAGGUCUGGGAGACUUCAUGAUUUUUAGACAUGCAGAGAGUGGAUUUGAGAAACGUUAAAGAAAACUUUCAAACCUUUGAGCUCUUCCUCAUCUUGCCUACUUUUAAAAGAACAGAGUUGGAAGGAAUCAUUGCUGUGAGAACCUGACAAUGGUGGAUGACAAGCUUGAAUUUCCAGAGAAAACAGCUACUCAGGAUGCUGAGGCAGGAGAAUUGCUUGAACCUGGGAGGCAGAGGCUGUGGUGAGCCAAGAUCAUGCCACUGCACUUCAGCCUGGGCUACAAGAGAGAAACUUCAUCUCAAAUAUCCAAACCAUAGUUAGGCUCCUCAUUGCACCCAGCAUGGGGGAGCUCCUUGCCACGCGAGUGCACACUUCCGUGUGUUUUGUAACAACUGACCCCUCAAAUGCAAGUCAAGAUUGAGUUACCUGUUCAGAAAUGACACCUAAACUGGCACUUCUGGGCUUGCUAAGGGGCAGUGAGUCUGGAACCUGCAGAGGACACAGAGGAGAAUGUCACGUGGCGAAAAGACAGUUUCCAGGAGGUUGUUGAUGCCGAGUAUGUGUUACUGGAAUCAAACAGACAGUUCUCCUACAUGUAUUCCCUGACGGCUGAGUCGGCGCUGUGAACCUCCCAGCCACAGAACUGGACCACCGUGAUAAAGGAAUUCGGGGGGCCUUAUUCUGGAACAGAGAGUCCAUGCUUUUCAAUCUGACUGCGGAGCCUCAAGAUCAAGAGACGGCGUUUUUGUUCCCACUUGUUAUGGGCUAAAUUUUGUCCUCACAAAAUUUGUAUAUCAAAGCCCCAACCUCCAGUGCCUCUGAAUGUGACUGUAUUUGGAAAUAGGGCUUUUAAAGAGGCAACGAAGUUAAAAUGAGGUCAUUAGGCUGGGCCCUCAUCCAGUCUGACUGGGGUCCUUAUAAGAGGAGAAAAUGUAGACACACAGGGAGACACCGGGUGGACACAGAGGAAACCAUAUGAUGACACAAGGAGGAGGCGGCCAACUGCAUGCCAAGGGCAGACACCCCAGGUGGAACCAACUUACUGAUACCUGAUCUGGAACUUCCAGCCUCCAGAAUCGUGAGAAAACUACAUUUUUGUUGUUGAAGCUACUCAGUCUGUGAUGUACUGUUAUGGCAGCCGAGCAGACACCACUUGAAUCUGGUCUGGCCACAAAAGCACCUUUGACCAACAGAGUACAGUGGAGGUAAAGCUUUGCUGGCUGUGAGCCUAGGCCGCAAGAGAAAAUGGGGCUUUUGGCCUAUUGCUGGGAGCCCUCCCAAGCCACCACAUGAACAAGUCUGAGCUAGAUUUUUGGAGAUGGGAACCCACAUGGAACAGAGACAACCAUUCCAGCUUCAGAUACAGAACUGCAGGCACAUAAGAAAACUGAGCCAAGAAAAGAACCACCACCCAGCUGAGCACAGCCCCCAUUAUUGACCCACAUUACUAUGAACUAAAUAAAAG